AUGUUGCACUGUGAUGCAAGGCUUGUUUUAGAUUAUUUUAUGCAUGAUAGGGACAAGGCAUUUGGGGCAGCAGGUUUUGGACAGUAUUGCAAGCUGUUUUCGCAGGGCCAUUUUUGUCUGGUUUUGACUGCUUCGAUAUCAGGUUUUAUGGCAGGUUUUGCAAAGGGUGUAAUAGGUUUUGGUUUGUGUGGAGAGCAUGUACGUAUAGGAGCAACAAGGCUGGUUUUGGCUGUAGCAGAAUUUGGAAGGGUUUGGCAUGUCCUUAUGGUGCAAGGUUUGAAGUAA